rnacentral:rRNA from 1 species
UACGUAGGGGGCAAGCGUUGUCCGGAAUCAUUGGGCGUAAAGAGCGUGUAGGCGGCUCGGUAAGUCCGCUCUGAAAGCCCGGGGCUCAACCCCGGGAGGCGGGCGGAUACUGUCGGGCUAGAGUCCGGAAGAGGCGAGUGGAAUUCCUGGUGUAGCGGUGAAAUGCGCAGAUAUCAGGAAGAACACCCGUGGCUAAGGCGGCUCUCUAGUACGGUACUGACGCUGAGACGCGAAAGCGUGGGGAGCGAACAGG